GGAGGAGGAGCGUUAACGGUUUCAGAACCCGGUCAGCAGGGCGGACAUGGCGGCACACAGCCCUAUGUAUCACUGCUGUAUUGUAGGUCAGCGUUUAUAUCGAAGAUUUUCUUGCUAAAAUGAUUAUAGAUGCCGCAUUGAAUCACGCAUGUGUAGUUCAUCCUGCGCGUAAAGCUGAGACUUUGAAGGAGAGGCUGCAAAGUUUCCAGGCGGAGCUCCAAACCAGAGAGGACUGAAGAGCCUCCGCCCGGAUUACAGCCCUCUCUCUCUCUCUCUCUCUCUCUCUCCGGCCUGGUUGAGGACUGAAGGUCUAACACCACACGGCCGCCAAGAGAAGAACUGAAGCGUCUCAUCUGAACAUUUCCUGUUCAUUACAGUGGUGGAUUCAUUUAAACAGUGGAU